CCUUGAAUUCAAUGAUAGGACCGAAAUUGUAUGAAAUACAACGGUCGUCAUGGAAACACAAGCUGCUACAGUGGCUGUCGGAGUUAGCUUCGGUUGAGCGAAAUUCGUGGUUCAUUAGAGCUUUCCCCAUCAGUGUGGUGAAUUUGGUCAUGCUGAGUGCUUUAUGUAAGAAGCCUCCUCGAACCGGAGCGGCAGCGUCGACGCCCUUUAAAUAACUAGAAGGUGACUGGAGUAACGAGGUUGAGUAUGACCAGAGUUUUUUUGCUAUUUUUAAGAGCCAAUUGGGAAAGUAUGCUGAUACACCGAAAAGUGAAACGGUUAAAGGUCGUGUAAAACGAGCUGCCAAUUUUUGGCGUGACACGAUUGAUGCUCCAGAAUUUGUUUUUAGAAUGAUUAAAAUGGGUUAUCGCUUGCCUUUCGGUAUGUACCCAACAAUAAUUUGCCGUCUUUAAGAAACAAAGAUUUGGUUUCAAAAGCCAUUUAUGAGUUGCUUAGCAACCAAUGUAUAGUUGAACAUGAUAAAGCACCGUAUUGCGUUAAUCCCUUAACCGUUGCGGAAGGGAAAAAACCUCGUCUAGUUAUCGAUCUGAGACAUGUUAAUGAGUACCUCCCUCGCGAGUACAACCAGCGUGCUGAUGUAUUAAGUCGAUUUGUUGACAAAGAUGACUGGUCCGUGAAUCAAUCGGUUUUCAGGCUUCUCGAUGCGAAAUGGGGUCCUCACACAAUUGAUCGAUUUGCAUCGGUCUAUAAUACCAAGCUAACAUGUUAUAAUUCCAGGUUCGCUUCACCCGGGAGUGCAGGCGUCGAUGCUUUUGCAUGACUGGACUUGCAAUAACAACUGGCUCUGCCCACCUGUCAGCCUUAUCGUCCCGACUAUCAGAAAGCUUCAGAGUUGUAAGGGUCAGGGAACACUUAUAAUUCCUGAGUGGCCCUCUAGCCUUUUUUGGCCUUUCUUGCAUUCAUCAGCCUUGAAUUUCAAGUCUUACGUGACGAAAGUAUUUCUAUUACCUAGAAUAGAAGAUCUCUUAAUUGAAGGUCCGGGUCAGGCCGUCGCGUACAAGCACAAGGUCUCCGUUUUUUCGGGCUGUCCCUCUUUCAAUAUGAUCGCGCUUCGCUUAGAUUUUUCCAUUUAGCCACUCGUUUCAGGCCUAUCACCAGUUGGUGCAUGAAUUGAUCCCUAUUUUACAUCAUUUCAGUGUGAAUGUGGAACAAACACAAUCACCAUUUAGGUGUAAAUAAUGCGGGGUGUGCAAGAACCAUUUAGGUGUGCAAUAUGAGAGUACUAUAACCACUUACGUUAACAAUGCGUUGAAUGCGCAGGGACCUUUUUGGUUUUAGGUUGGUUUUGUUUUUGGUAUUUCAAUUGUUGUUUACUUACGCUGUUUGCGUAUCACCAUUUAGGUGUCUGUAUCACCAUUUGGGUGUCUGUAUCACCAUUUGGGUGUCUGUAUCACCAUUUGGGUGUAAGGACGGACGCGUUAUAUUAAUGCGCCGCUACACGUGUUGUGAUUUUUUAAGUUUCUUUCAGAUAUUAUGGAAGGGUAUUCGAUAUUAGACAUGCCAAAGGACAUUGGUCUUCAGCAGUCGUUGCCCGGCCUCGUUGAUUUACUUCUCGGUGCCAAGGCUUACACGGUCGAAAUACAAUGUUCUCCAUGUAUUUGUGUGUAUUUGUGUUUAUUCCGAAGAUAAGGGUAGAAAUAAUUUUA